rnacentral:rRNA from 1 species
CCAGGUCAGGCGGGGCCACCCGCUGAGCU